rnacentral:rRNA from 1 species
UGGGUAAUCUGCCCUCGAUUCUGGGAUAGCCCGGGGAAACCCGGAUUAAUACCGGAUAGCCUCUCGAGCUUUCGAGCUCGUGAGAAAAGGUAGCUUCGGCCUCCGAUCGAGGAUGAGCCCGCGGCGGAUUAGCUUGUUGGUGGGGUAAUGGCCUACCAAGGCGACGACGGGUAGCCGGCCUGAGAGGGUGACCGGCCACACUGGGACUGAGACACGGCCCAGACUCCUACGGGAGGCAG